AUGACUUCACCCCAGUGCUAACAACAAGCACUCUGGUUGACACCAUCUCAGUAUUGGAGAAUCUGGGUAUCAGUGAAGAGCUGGUAGAUAUUAAUGCAGCAGAUAAUGACCCACCGAACACUCCUAACAGCCGUGUGACAUUCAGUAUCAGCAACGUGUCACCCCCCUCUGGCACACAACUGUUCUUUAUCAACCCUACCACAGGACAACUGGUGCUGCGGAAUCCAUUCACUGAUGAUCCUGGUGUUCCAACAUAUACGGUCACCAUCUUAGGCACCAAUGAAGGAUCCCCUUUUCGAGCUGGAGUUCUCACCCUGACAGUAAAUGUGAUCAGGAACACGGCACCUGUGU